rnacentral:rRNA from 1 species
AUUAGGAAUCUUGCACAAUGGGCGAAAGCCUGAUGCAGCGACGUCGCGUGGAGGAUGAAAUCUUUCGGGAUGUAAACUCCUUUUGUCGGGGAAGAAACAAAUGACGGUACCCGACGAAUAAGCCCCGGCUAACUACGUGCCAGCAGCCGCGGUAAUACGUAGGGGGCGAGCGUUGUCCGAAGUUACUGGGCGUAAAGCGCGCGUAGGCGGGUCUUUAAGUGAGGGGUGAAAGGUUCGGGCUCAACCCGGACACUGCCUUUCAUACUGGGGAUCUUGAGUGCGGGAGGGGCGAGUGGAAUGGUCGGUGUAGCGGUGAAAUGCGUAGAUAUCGAUCGGAACACCCAUGGCGAAGGCAGCUCGCUGGCCUGCAACUGACGCUGAGGCGCGAAAGCGUGGGGAGCAAACAG